CCCUGGAGUCUGGAGCAGGCGGCUGGGCCCCUGUGGUGGUAUAACUGCCUGCUCUGCUCCACGAGGCUACAGAGGGCUUCAUGUGGAUGUCUGUUUCCCUUCCUCACACCCACGUGGCUGUGACUGCAAAGGAAUGGCGACUGGACAGCGUCUUGCAGCAACCAAGGCAAUCACAGUAAUUAAGCACUUGCAUUCGAUCCUCCAGCAUGGCUCUGCCAGGGAAAGUGGCCGGGAGAGGACACUUACCUCUGGGGAAAGGAGAGGAACUGAGGCUCACAGACUAAUGAAUGUGUAAGAGUCUUAGGUCUCUGCCAACCUCAGUGGUCAGAGUCCACACUACUUCCCCUUACCAGAUUACUGCCCUCUGUUAGAGUCAUUCUUCGGGGGGAGCUGCCAGGAGGCCUGUGUAUUCUCACCAGGCUUCCCUCCCUGAGAGAAGCCAAACGUAUAAACAACUCAUGAUUUGUGUGAAUUUCCCAUGAUGUACCCAAUCCAAGUUUGGCUAUACCAAAUAGAUGAAAGCAGAGACUUCUAGAAAUCCAACCCUGAGGUCAGGCGUGGUGGUUCAUGCCUGUAAUUCCCGAGGUGGGCAGAUCACUUGAGGUCAGGAGUUCGGGACCAGCCUGGCCAACAUGGUGAAACCCGUCUCUACUAAAAACACAAAAAUUAGCUGGGCAUGGUGGCAGGUGCCUGUAAUCCGAGCUACUGGGGAGGCUGUGGCAGGAGAAUCACUUAAACCCAGGAGGCGGAGGUUGCAGUGAGCCGAGAUCGCACUGCACUCCAGCCUGGGUGACAGAGCAAGACUCCAUCUCAAAAAAAUAAAUAAAUAAAAUAAAUCGAGCCCUGAAAGGCACUUGGAAACCAUUUACCCACUCUCCCCUUCUCUCCUUCCAUUCCACUCUCACUGCUGUUCCCAUCACACCAGGUACAGACGUACCCUCCCUCCGGGCCUGUGUGCUUGCCCAGCCACCCACCCAGAACGUGACUGCCCCCCUCCUGCCCUGGCUCACAUAUCACCUUCUCAGUAAGGCCUUUCUUCACCUGUCAUGUCCUGACAUACCAGGUGCUGCACUUAUUUUUGCAUUUAAUAUUUGCUUCCACCUUCUGGGAGGUCACCUUCACAGGGGCAGGGAUUUCUCUUUCCUCGACUUCCUGCAGUGUGUCAAAUGCCAGGCGCCAGGAGAUGCCCAACACAUUAGUUAAAAAAUUGAUAUCCAAGAGCCUCUCCUUUUACAGGUGAGCAAAUUAAGGACCAGCGGAGGGAAGGACUUGCCCACGUCCAUCCAACCAACUAGAGCCUAUAGUCAUUGCUUAGGGCCGUCAUGACAAAUUGCCACAAUCUUGGUGCCAUAAAUUCCUGCCAAAACAAUAGAAAUUUCUCCUCUCACAGUUCUGAAGGUCAGAAAUCCCAGAUCAAGGUAUGGGCAGGGCCACACUCCCCUGCAAGGCUCUGGGGGAGAAUUCAUUGCUUGCCUCUUCCAACGGCAGGAGAUCCCUGGCUUGUGGCUGCACCUCUGUCUGCCUCCAUCUUUACGGGGCCUUCUCUGUGUCUCUGCGUCCCUCUCCCUCCUCUUAUAAAGACAUCAGUCAUUGGAUUUAGGACCCAUCCUAUCUUCAGGGUGACUUCAUUUCAAGAUCCUUAGAUAAUUAUGCCUGCAAAGAUCCUAUUUCCAAAUAAGCUCACAUUCUGAAUUUUGGGGGACAGUAGGCACCCUCCUACAGAGGCAGAGCUGGCAAGAUUCCAGGUCUCCUCCCAACUGCAGCCCCCAUGGGGACUUCACAAGGAACUCAGCUUUCAGGGAGGGC
rnacentral:lncRNA from 1 species